rnacentral:piRNA from 1 species
UAUACAUCAGACUGCAUUCAAAAGCAUCGA